rnacentral:rRNA from 1 species
AUCGAACGCUGGCGGCAUGCCUUACACAUGCAAGUCGAACGGCAGCACGGGUGCUUGCACCUGGUGGCGAGUGGCGAACGGGUGAGUAAUACAUCGGAACGUACCUUAUCGUGGGGGAUAACGCAGCGAAAGCUGUGCUAAUACCGCAUACGCCCUGAGGGGGAAAGCGGGGGAUCGAAAGACCUCGCGCGAUUAGAGCGGCCGAUGCCUGAUUAGCUUGUUGGUGGGGUAAAAGCCCACCAAGGCGACGAUCAGUAGCUGGUCUGAGAGGACGGGCAGCCACACUGGGACUGAGACACGGCCCAGAAUCCUACGGGAGGCAGCAGUGGGGAAUUUUGGACAAUGGGGGCAACCCUGAUCCAGCAAUGCCGCGUGAGUGAAGAAGGCCUUCGGGUUGUAAAGCUCUUUUGUCAGGGAAGAAACACCGGCUCUAACACAGUCCGGGAAUGACGGUACCUGAAGAAUAAGCACCGGCUAACUACGUGCCAGCAGCCGCCGUAA